CAACUUUCAGCAACGGAUCUCUUGGCUCUCGCAUCGAUGAAGACGCAGCGAAAAGCGAUAUGUAAUGUGAAUUGCAGAUCUACAGUGAAUCAUCGAAUCUUUGAACGCACCUUGCGCUCCUCGGUGUUCCGAGGAGCAUGCCUGUUUGAGUGUCAGUAA
rnacentral:rRNA from 1 species